UCAGAGCGAACGUUAGCGGGAGCUUAACACAUGCAAGUCGAGCGAGAACGGGUCUUCGGGGCCUUAGUAAAGCGGCGGACGGGUGAGUAACACGUGGAUAACCUUCCUUCGGUGGGGGACAACAGCUCGAAAGGGCUGCUAAUACCGCAUACGAUUCCAGGACCCCCGGGUCUUGGAAGGAAAGAUGGCCUCUAUUUAUAAGCUAUCGCCGAAGGCUGGGUCCGCGUAGCAUCAGCUUGAUGGUGGGGUAACGGCCUACCAUGGCUAAGACGCUUAGCUGGUCUGAGAGGAUGAUCAGCCACACUGGGACUGAGAUACGGCCCAGACUCUACGGGAGGCAGCAGUGGGGAAUAUUGGACAAUGGGCGCAAGCCUGAUCCAGCCAUCCCGCGUGAGUGAUGAAGGCUUUCGGGUCGUAAAGCUCUGUGGGGAGAGACGAAACCUGAAGGGAACAAUACCCCUUCAACUGACGGUAUCUCUUUAGCAAGCGCCGGCUAACUCCGUGCCAGCAGCCGCGGUAAUACGGAGGGCGCAAACGUUGCUCGGAAUCAUUGGGCGUAAAGCGCACGUAGGCGGCUUGAUAAGUCGGAUGUGAAAGCCCUCGGCUUAACCGGGGAAGUGCAUUCGAAACUGUCAAGCUUGAGUAUGGGAGAGGGUUGCGGAAUUCCCGGUGUAGAGGUGAAAUUCGUAGAUAUCGGAGGAACACCAGAGGCGAAG
rnacentral:rRNA from 1 species